rnacentral:rRNA from 1 species
UGAAUACGAGACGCUAAGGCGUCGAAGUAGUGUAUGUCAUACUUCCAAGAAAAGCUUGCACUGUCAUAGAUAAAAAACGCCUGUACCAUAACCGACACAGGUGGGUAGGUAGAGUAUACUAAGGGGCGCGAGAUAACUCUCUCUAAGGAACUCGGCAAAAUAACUCCGUAACUUCGGGAGAAGGAGUGCCUUAUUCGUAAGGUUGCAAUAACAAGAUCCAAGCAACUGUUUAUCAAAAACACAGGUCUCCGCUAAGUCGUAAGACGAUGUAUGGGGGCUGACGCCUGCCCAGUGCCAGAAGGUUAAAGAAGUUGGUUAGCAAUUGCGAAGCUGAUAACUGAAGCCCUGGUGAACGGCGGCCGUAACAAUAACGGUCCUAAGGUAGCGAAAUUCCUUGUCGGGUAAGUUCCGACCCGCACGAAAGGCGUAAUGAUUUGGAUACUGUCUCGGAGAGGGGCUCGGUGAAAUAGACUUGUCUGUGAAGAUGCGGACUACCUGCACCAGGACAGAAAGACCCUAUGAAGCUUUACUGUAACUUGAAAUUGAAAUUGGACUUUAUUCGCGCAGUAUAGGUGGGAGGCGUUGAUUAUAAUCUUGUGGGAUUAUUGGAGCCAUCAGUGAGAUACCACUCUUGUAAUGUUAGAUUUCUAACUUUGAAUCAUUAUCUGGUCAAAGAACAGUUUCAGGCGGGCAGUUUGACUGGGGCGGUCGCCUCCUAAACGGUAACGGAGGCGUACAAAGGUUUCCUCUGAACGGUUAGAAAUCGUAUCUAGAGUGUAAAGGCAUAAGGAAGCUUGACUGUGAGACCUACAAGUCGAGCAGGGACGAAAGUCGGUCUUAGUGAUCUGACGGUACUGAGUGGAAAGGCCGUCACUCAACGGAUAAAAGUUACUCUAGGAUAACAGGCUGAUCUCCCCCAAGAGUUCACAUCGACGGGGAGGUUUGGCACCUCGAUGUCGGCUCAUCGCAUCCUGGGGCGGUAGUACGUCCCAAGGGUUGGGCUGUUCGCCCAUGAAAGCGGUACGCGAGCUGGGUUCAGAACGUCGUGAGACAGUUCGGUCCAUAUCCGGUGUAGGCGUUAGAGUAUUGAGAGGAGCCUUCUUUAGUACGAGAGGACCGAGAAGGACAUACCUCUGGUGUACCAGUUAUCGUGCCAACGGUAAACGCUGGGUAGCUAUGUAUGGAGUGGAUAACCGCUGAAAGCAUCUAAGUGGGAAGCCCACCUCAAGAUAAGUAUUCUCAU